rnacentral:tRNA from 1 species
AAUCCGUGGUUUUAUAAACCGUGAGG